rnacentral:lncRNA from 1 species
CCCUACAAAAAUAUUGAGUUUUUGGUGAAUACUUUAUAUACUGAAGCCUAUAAUCUUUAGUGUUGUUUUAAAAUUUUUAUCAUAUUCUACAUUUGUAUUAAUGUAUGCUAAACUCUUUUUCAUGGUAAAUGAGCAUCGUUCAAUUGUUUUUAUCAAAUAAUUUAAUAAAACUUCAUAUACUCCCUAAAUCAAUGGAAUAACCACUAUAAAAUUAUUAUUUUCUUGAUAAACGGAGACGACAAAAACUCCAAACCUCUUUGAACAUCAUCAUAAGUUAGUGCAGGAUGCAACUAGGCAUUAAAACAAUCUUGUCAUAUUUUUUGAAAUUUUCUCAAAAUCUAUGGGCUAAUCCCUACAAAAAUAUUGAGUUUUUGGUAAAUACUUUAUAUACUGAAGCCUAUAAUCUUCAGUGUUGUUUUGAAAUUUCCACCAUAUUCUACAUUUGUAUUAAUGUAUGCUAAACUCUUUUUCAUGGUAAAUGAGCAUCAUUCAAUGGUUUUUAUCAAUUAAUUUAGUAAAACUUCAUAAUACCCCCUAAAUCGAUGGAAUAACCAAUAUAAAAUUAUUAUUUUCUUGAUAAACGGAGAGCAUAAAGGUUCCAAACCUCUUUGAACAUCAUCAUAUGUUAGUGCAAGAUGCAACUAGGCAUUAAAACAAUAUUGUCAUAUUUUUUGAAAUUUUCUCAAAAUCUAUGGGCUAAUAACCCCUACAAAAAUAUUGAGUUUUUGGUGAAUACUUUAUAUACUGAAGCCUAUAAUCUUUAGUGUUGUUUUAAAAUUUCUACCAUAUUCUACAUUUGUAUUAAUGUAUGCUAAACUCUUUUUCACGGUAAAUAAGCAUCGUUCAAUUGUUUUUAUCAAUUAAUUUAGUAAAACUUCAUAAUACUCCCUAAAUCGAUCGAAUAACCACUAUAAAGUAAUAAUUUUCUUGAUAAACGGAGACGACAAAGGCUCCAAACCGCUUUGAACAUCAUCAUAUUUUAGUGCAGGAUGCAACUAGGCAUUAAAACAAUAUUGUCAUAUUUUUUGAAAUUUUCUCAAAAUCUAUGGGCUAACCCCUACAAAAAUAUUGAGUUUUUCGUAAAUACUUUAUAUACUGAAGCCUAUACUCUUUAGUGUUGUUUUAAAAUUUCUACCAUAUUCUACAUUUGUAUUAAUGUAUGCUAAACUCUUUUUCACGGUAAAUAAGCAUCGUUCAAUUGUUUUUAUCAAUUAAUUUAGUAAAACUUCAUAAUACUCCCUAAAUCGAUCGAAUAACCACUAUAAAGUAAUAAUUUUCUUUUUACAUUGUAAAUGAGCAUCUUUUAAUUGUUUUUUUCAAAUAUUUUAAUAAAACUUCAUAAUACUCCCUCAAUCGAUGGAAUAACCACUAUAAAAUUAUUGUUUUCUUGAUAAACGGAGACGGAAAAGGCUCCAAAUCUCUUUGAACAUCAUCAUAUGUUAGUGCAGGAUGAAACUAGGCAUUAAAACAAUAUUGUCAUAUUUUUUGAAAUUUUCUCAAAAUCUAUGGGCUAAUAACCCCUACAAAAAUAUUGAGUUUUUGGUAAAUACUUUAUAUACUGAA